rnacentral:tRNA from 1 species
GGGGAUAUGGCGGAACUGGUAGACGCGCUAGACUCAAAAUCUUGUUGCCUCAGGCAGUGUGAGUUCAAGUCUCACUAUCCCUACCA